rnacentral:tRNA from 1 species
GGGCGCGUAGCUCAGCUGGUUAGAGCGCCGGUCUCACAUACCGGAGGUCGGAGGUUCGAGUCCUCCCGCGCCCA